rnacentral:rRNA from 1 species
AGCCCUAAGAAUUUAUUUAGGGUGAUACCUGCCCAAUGAGAAAUUUAAAUGGCCGCGGUACUUUGACCGUGCUAAGGUAGCAUAAUCAGUUGACUUUUAAAUGAAGUCUGGAAUGAAAGGGAAAACGGAAUUUAGCUGUCUUGACUUUUUUAAUUUGAAUUUACUAACUAAGUGAAAAGGCUUAGGUAAGAUAAAAGACGAGAAGACCCUAAGAGUUUAAUAUUUUGUUGGGGCGACAUAGGGUCAAUCAACACCCUAAAUAUAUGUGACGGAAUUUCAUGUUUAGACAAACUACCUUAGGGAUAACAGCAUAAUCCUUUUGGGUUUGUGACCUCGAUGUUGGACUAGGAAGCCCUUAGGCUAGCUGCCUAAUGGGGGGAUUCUGUUCGAAUUUUUACUCCU